UGCUUCUAAUUCAUCCUAAAAAUGAAUAUAUAUACAUAAUAAAAAGUAACAUUUUUAGGGCCAGACUUGACCCAAAACAUCCCGCUUCUUAUAUUGUUUGUCCCACGACCAAGGAACAUCUGCAUGAAGAGUAACGUGCUGGGGGGAGCUCAUACGGCACAGGCAAAGUAACCACAUCGGGCAGAUGCAUUUUCUUGCUAUGUGGUGAAGCCAGUGUUACAAGUUUUGUUCUUUUUGCUUCAUGAGUU
rnacentral:lncRNA from 1 species